UACGUAGGGGGGCAAACGUGUUCCGGAUUUACUGGGUGUAAAGGGUGCUCAGGUGGCUUUGUAAGUCAGCGGUGAAAUCUUAGAGCUCAACUCUGAAACUGCCGUUGAUACUACUUGGCUUAGUAUGGAAGAGGUUGAUGGAAUUUCAGGUGUAGCAGUGAAAUGCGUAGAUAUCUGAAAGAACACCAGUGGCGAAGGCGGUCAACUGGUCCAUUACUGACACUAAAGCACGAAAAGCGUGGGUAGCGAACAGG
rnacentral:rRNA from 1 species